AAGCGGAGGAAAAGAAACCAACAGGGAUUGCCUCAGUAACGGCGAGUGAAGCGGCAAAAGCUCAAAUUUGAAAUCUGGUACCUUUGGUGCCCGAGUUGUAAUUUGAAGAUAGUUUUCUGGUGCUGGCCCUUGUCUAUGUUCCUUGGAACAGGACGUCACAGAGGGUGAGAAUCCCGUCUGGCGGGGUGUCCAGUGCUUUGUAGAUUUCUAUCGACGAGUCGAGUUGUUUGGGAAUGCAGCUCUAAGUGGGUGGUAAAUUCCAUCUAAAGCUAAAUAUUGGCGAGAGACCGAUAGCGAACAAGUACAGUGAUGGAAAGAUGAAAAGAACUUUGAAAAGAGAGUGAAAAAGUACGUGAAAUUGUUGAAAGGGAAGGGUAUUAGAUCAGACUUGGUGUUUUGUGAUUAUCUUCCCUUCUUGGGUUGUGCACUCGCAUUUCACUGGGCCAGCAUCGGUUCGGGUGGUAAGAUAAUGACAUUGGAACGUGGCACUACCUUCGGGUGGUGUGUUAUAGCCCUUGUUGAUGUUGCCUACCUGGACCGAGGACUGCGGCUUUUGCCUAGGAUGCUGGCGUAAUGAUCUAACACCGCCCGUCUUG
rnacentral:rRNA from 1 species